CCCUUAGAUGUCCGGGGCCGCACGCGCGCUACACUGAAGGAAUCAGCGUGGCUUUCUCCCUGACCCGAAAGGGUUGGGAAACCCGUUGAAUCUCCUUCGUGAUAGGGAUUGGGGCUUGAAAUUGUUCCCCAUGAACGAGGAAUUCCCAGUAAGCGCGAGUCAUAAGCUCGCGUUGAUUACGUCCCUGCCCUUUGUACACACCGCCCGUCGCUACUACCGAUUGAACGGUUUAGUGAGGGCCUCGGAUUGGUCUCGGCCCGCUCUUUACCGGGCGGCGCCGUUGGUCGAGGAGACGCUCGAACUUGAUCGUUUAGAGGAAGUAAAAGUCGUAACA
rnacentral:rRNA from 1 species